rnacentral:rRNA from 1 species
AGUGAACGCUGGCGGUAGGCCUAACACAUGCCAGUCGAACGGCAGCACAGGAGAGCUUGCUCUCUAGGUGGCGAGUGGCGGACGGGUGAGGAAUACAUCGGAAUCUGCCCAGUCGUGGGGGAUAACGUAGGGAAACUUACGCUAAUACCGCAUACGACCUUCGGGUGAAAGAGGGGGAUCGCAAGACCUCUCGCGAUUGGAUGAGCCGAUGUCGGAUUAGCUAGUUGGCGGGGUAAUGGCCCACCAAGGCGACGAUCCGUAGCUGGUCUGAGAGGAUGAUCAGCCACACUGGAACUGAGACACGGUCCAGACGCCUACGGGAGGCAGCAGUGGGGAAUAUUGGACAAUGGGCGCAAGCCUGAUCCAGCCAUACCGCGUGGGUGAAGAAGGCCUUCGGGUUGUAAAGCCCUUUUGUUGGGAAAGAAAUCUUUCAGGCUAAUACCCUGGGAGGAUGACGGUACCCAAAGAAUAAGCACCGGCUAACUUCGUG